rnacentral:rRNA from 1 species
UGUUUAACAAAGAGAAGCAAAGCCGCGAGGUAGAGCAAAUCUCAAAAAAAACAUCUCAGUUCAGACUGCAGGCUGCAACUCGCCUGCACGAAGUCGGAAUUGCUAGUAAUCGUAGGUCAGCAUACUACGGUGAAUACGUUCCCGGGCCUUGUACACACCGCCCGUCAAACCAUGAGAGUUGGCAACACCCGAAGUCGGUAGUCUAACCGCAAGGAGGACGCCGCCGAAGGUGGGGUUGAUGAUUAGGGUUAAGUCGUAACAAGGUAAC